rnacentral:snRNA from 1 species
AGCUUUAUGCAAUGGCAGUAUGCUAGCCAGUGAGGCUUAUAUAGGGUGUGAUCAUUGCUAAUUGAAAACUUUUCCCAGUAUUUAAUUCCUUGAUGCAUUUUAAAUUAAUUUUUGUAUAAAGUAUGAAAUA